CCAGGGCCCAAGUGAAUACAACACAUGGCCUUUUCUGGUGCUCCACUGCACAGAUUCUUCUGAAAAUAAGGUGGGGCAGGAGGGCCCCAAGGAAGCUGGAAAGCAAGCAGACAAACUCACUCUCGGAUGGUUGCGUCCGUGUCCCGGUCCCAGGCAAUUCAAUACUGAAGAAUGGGAGAAAACGAGGAAAUUAAAAAUGGAAGAAGAGAAGGAGAGAGCUCGUAUCAGAGUCUGGAAUUGGAACGUGCUGCAGAAGAUUGAGAGAACCCAGAAUAUGGACAGGAACCAAGAGUUCUUCUGUAU